rnacentral:lncRNA from 1 species
GCCUUCCCUAAGGUUGACGGAAACAGUAAUUACACAGAUAACGGGCUAGCGCGUCUGAAGAGCUGACUCUGUGCCUUUAAAUGUGUGACCUCCCGUGACUGCCACAAGAGCCUCUGGAAGGAGAUCCAGCCGUUUUCCAGUGAAAGCUGAGAAGCGGAGGCCAGAGCAAUGAAACAAGCUGCCCCAAGUCACCCGGCUCAGAACCGGCAGAGCAGAGACCCCAUGCCACAGUCUUUCUGACACGAGUCCAACCUGCAGGCUCUACAUCCUGCUUCGUUAACUGAACAGACUCGUUAAUGGCCUACUGUGCGCCAGGGACUGUUGUCUGUGCUGGGCAUGCAGUCAGAACAAAGCCCAUCCACAGUCUAUGGAGCUCACAUUCUGGAGGGCGGGGAGCAGGGGGUGGACGAGUAAGCAGACAGAUACGCAGCAGCCAGGCGUCCCCAGGCCCGGGAAGGUGCUCUGGAGGAAAGCAGCAGCGGAUAAAAUGAUGGGGAAGGACCAGGCACGGCAGGCUGUAAACAAGCCCCUUCAAGAGGUUACGGGAGGCUCCAGUCUUGGGGACGUGGGGAAACAAGUACUAAUUCACCCAAUCACUCUCCUGAUUUCUUGGACUUCCACUUCGGGUCAAAAUGGCAUAACUUUUGGCAGCAUCACAGGACCACAAGGAGGAGAAGUGAGAGAGUCCCCGAUAGCAUCAUCAAAGAGAGACCUUGUGGCAACACUUCAAAGGCUUGACAGGUAGAAGCCAUUAUCGUUAAUUAUGUUUAUGAUCGUUUUAUUGUUCUUGGUGUAGAACCCUUUUGGCAGCACAUUUCCAGCCAGAAUCAAGGAAUAAAUGGAAGGGACCCUGAAGCAUUCCCUGAAAGGAAGGCGGGUACAGAGAGAGGCCUUCCAAAGAUUUGGGCCAGGGAAGGGGGGUGGGGACCACAAAGGAGGCAGAAUGGCCGCUGGAGAGGCAAGUCCCCAGCCUCUCGGCUCCGAGCUCUGGGUCCAGCUGCGUGCCGUUGGUCUCUCAGAUCAAGAAGCAGA